AAGGCAUAUCCCGAAAAGCCUGUAAUAGAGUAGGGA
rnacentral:ncRNA from 1 species